rnacentral:rRNA from 1 species
CGUAGGGUACAAGCGUUGUCCGGAAUUAUUGGGCGUAAAGAGCUCGUAGGUGGUUUGUCGCGUCUGCUGUGGAAUCGUGCCGCUUAACGGUGCGCGUGCAGUGGGUACGGGCAGACUGGAGUGCAGUAGGGGAGUCUGGAAUUCCUGGUGUAGCGGUGAAAUGCGCAGAUAUCAGGAGGAACACCGGUGGCGAAGGCGGGACUCUGGGCUGUUACUGACGCUGAGGAGCGAAAGCAUGGGAGCGAACAGGAUU